rnacentral:miRNA from 1 species
AGAUAAAUUUGAAUUUCAGAAAAACCACUAAUCAUCUUUUAGAAUUUAAGUAUAUCCCAUGCUAUAUUUGGGACAAACUUAUACUAAAAACUGGUUUGUAUCUGAAAUUCAAGGUACCU